rnacentral:rRNA from 1 species
AGAGUUUGAUCAUGGCUCAGAACGAACGCUGGCGGCGUGCUUAACACAUGCAAGUCGAGUGCGCGUGCCGUAGCAAUACGGUAUGGCGCACGGCGCACGGGUGCGUAACACGUGGGCAAUCUGCCCUCCGAUGGGGAAUAACCCCGCGAAAGCGGGGCUAAUUCCGCAUAACAUUCCCUGGACUCCGGUUCGGGGAUUCAAAGCAGCAAUGCGUCGGAGGAGGAGCCCGCGCCCGAUUAGCUAGUUGGUGAGGUAACGGCUCACCAAGGCUAUGAUCGGUAGCUGGUCUGAGAGGAUGGCCAGCCACACUGGAACUGAGACACGGUCCAGACUCCUACGGGAGGCAGCAGUGGGGAAUCUUGCGCAAUGGGCGAAAGCCUGACGCAGCGACGCCGCGUGGGGGAUGAAGCUUCUCGGAGUGUAAACCCCUUUCGACCGGGACGAAUGCCCGCAAGGGAGUGACGGUACCGGUAGAAGAAGCCCCGGCUAACUACGUGCCAGCAGCCGCGGUAAGACGUAGGGGGCCAGCGUUGUUCGGAGUUACUGGGUGUAAAGGGUUCGUAGGCGGUGUGGCAAGUCGGGAGUGAAAUUUCUGGGCUUAACUCAGAAGCUGCUUCCGAAACUGCUGUGCUGGAGUGUGGGAGAGGCGCGUGGAAUUGCAGGUGUAGCGGUGAAAUGCGUAGAUAUCUGCAGGAACACCCGUGGCGAAAGCGGCGCGCUGGACCACUACUGACGCUGAGGAACGAAAGCUAGGGGAGCAAACAGGAUUAGAUACCCUGGUAGUCCUAGCCCUAAACGAUCAGGACUUGGGGUGCCACCCGUUCGGGUGUCGUCCCGGAGCUAACGCGUUAAGUCCUGCACCUGGGGAGUACGGUCGCAAGACUGAAACUCAAAGGAAUUGACGGGGGCCCGCACAAGCGGUGGAACAUGUGGUUCAAUUUCGAC